ACGCUGGCGGCGUGCCUAAUACAUGCAAGUAGAACGCUGAAGAGAGGAGCUUGCUCUUCUUGGAUGAGUUGCGAACGGGUGAGUAACGCGUAGGUAACCUGCCUGGUAGCGGGGGAUAACUAUUGGAAACGAUAGCUAAUACCGCAUAAAAUGGAUUAUCGCAUGAUAAUCCAUUGAAAGGUGCAAAUGCAUCACUACCAGAUGGACCUGCGUUGUAUUAGCUAGUUGGUGGGGUAACGGCUCACCAAGGCGACGAUACAUAGCCGACCUGAGAGGGUGAUCGGCCACACUGGGACUGAGACACGGCCCAGACUCCUACGGGAGGCAGCAGUAGGGAAUCUUCGGCAAUGGACGGAAGUCUGACCGAGCAACGCCGCGUGAGUGAAGAAGGUUUUCGGAUCGUAAAGCUCUGUUGUAAGAGAAGAACGAGUGUGAGAGUGGAAAGUUCACACUGUGACGGUAUCUUACCAGAAAGGGACGGCUAACUACGUGCCAGCAGCCGCGGUAAUACGUAGGUCCCGAGCGUUGUCCGGAUUUAUUGGGCGUAAAGCGAGCGCAGGCGGUUAGAUAAGUCUGAAGUUAAAGGCUGUGGCUUAACCAUAGUACGCUUUGGAAACUGUUUAACUUGAGUGCAAGAGGGGAGAGUGGAAUUCCAUGUGUAGCGGUGAAAUGCGUAGAUAUAUGGAGGAACACCGGUGGCGAAAGCGGCUCUCUGGCUUGUAACCGACGCUGAGGCACGAAAGCGUGGGGAGCAAACAGGAUUAGAUACCCUGGUAGUCCACGCCGUAAACGAUGAGUGCUAGGUGUUAGACCCUUUCCGGGUUUAGUGCCGCAGCUAACGCAUUAAGCGCUCCGCCUGGGGAGUACGACCGCAAGGUUGAAACUCAAAGGAAUUGACGGGGGCCCGCACA
rnacentral:rRNA from 1 species